UUUCUUUAACCAUUCAAAAUAACAGACAUUGAAAUAACAGUGCUCGAUCAUUCAUGCCAAGAUUCGAUGAGCCGCCUUCGCUAUAUGCAUUCCUCGGCAUCUUGUGUAGCACAACAUCAUUUAUCUUGCUGAUCAGUGAGCAUCAUCUGGAGCUGAAAGAAUCCAAGUGCCCACACUCAUGACAGCAACUGACAUCUUUUUACUCUUCAAACUUUUAUUUCCUCCUGUCUGCACUAAUUG
rnacentral:lncRNA from 1 species